AAGCGUGGGUAGCAAACAGGAUUAGAUACCCUGGUAGUCCACGCCGUAAACGAUGUCUACUAGUCGUUGGGUCCCUUGAGGACUUAGUGACGCAGCUAACGCAAUAAGUAGACCGCCUGGGGAGUACGGCCGCAAGGUUAAAACUCAAAUGAAUUGACGGGGGCCCGCACAAGCGGUGGAGCAUGUGGUUUAAUUCGAUGCAACGCGAAGAACCUUACCUGGUCUUGACAUAUCUAGAAUCUUGUAGAGAUACGAGAGUGCCUUCGGGAAUUAGAAUACAGGUGCUGCAUGGCUGUCGUCAGCUCGUGUCGUGAGAUGUUGGGUUAAGUCCCGCAACGAGCGCAACCCUUGUCCUUAGUUACCAGCGGGUUAAGCCGGGAACUCUAAGGAUACUGCCAGUGACAAACUGGAGGAAGGCGGGGACGACGUCAAGUCAUCAUGGCCCUUACGACCAGGGCUACACACGUGCUACAAUGGUAGGUACAGAGGGCAGCUACACAGCGAUGUGAUGCGAAUCUUUUAAAGCCUAUCGUAGUCCAGAUUGGAGUCUGCAACUCGACUCCAUGAAGUAGGAAUCGCUAGUAAUCGCGGAUCAGAAUGCCGCGGUGAAUACGUUCCCGGGCCUUGUACACACCGCCCGUCACACCAUGGGAGUUGAUUGCACCAGAAGUGGUUAGCCUAACGUAAGAGGGCGAUCACCACGGUGUGGUUGAUGACUGGGGUGAAGUCGUAACAAGGUAGCCGUAGGGGAACCUGCGGCUG
rnacentral:rRNA from 1 species